ACAAUGACUGUUGCCAAAACAGCGACAAGUUUUUUGCUUGUAAGGGCGGAAAAACAAGAUAUCUGUCAAAAACAUCGAGCCAAAGCGUAUCAGAUACAGGUGGAGAAAUGUACCGUUUUCAACAGACUUUAUAAUAGUGAUUUGUUCAAAACAUGACCGCUUCUUAUACUAGAAAUAUUUUUUACUAUUUUACAUUUUAAUUAUCACAUUAUCAGUGAUUUGUUCUAAACAAUACUGUUGCAGUUGCUACUCGAAUGUUAAUGUAUAUACAUUAUUUAUGACAAAAUAAAGCAAUGUUAAUCCUGUUAUUAAUUUCUUUCAUUUUUUCUCUAAAAACAAGAAAAACAACUGUUCAGAGUAUCGUUAAAGUACCGGAUCAAUAAGCAGUAUUGGCAAGAGUAGUAAAUAUAAGAAUCGGAACCAAAACAACUUGAUCGGGACGUCCCCAGAUUGUUUCCUCUGCGUGUGUGCGUUUUAACAGCCAAUAAGAGGAGGUGAGUUGAUGUCUACCUGAGGAAUGAUGGACAUCUUCUGGCGCGG